rnacentral:miRNA from 1 species
AAUACAAGAUGCCCAGUUAAAUUUGAAUUUCAGGUAAACUACUUCUUUUUUUUUAGGUUAAGUAUGACCCAUGCAAUAUUUGGGACAUACUUAUCCUAAAAAUAUUUGUUGCUCAUCUGAAAUUCAAAUUUAACUGGUGCCCUGUAUUUU